rnacentral:rRNA from 1 species
AUAUUGGACAAUGGGCGCAAGCCUGAUCCAGCCAUGCCGCGUGUGUGAAGAAGGCCUUCGGGUUGUAAAGCCCUUUUGUCGAGGAGGAAGGCCAGCNGGUUAAUACCUNGUUGGNNUGACGUUACCCACAGAAUAAGCACCGGCUAACUUCGUGCCAGCAGCCGCGGUAAUACGNAGGGUGCAAGCGUUANUCGGAAUUACUGGGCGUAAAGCGCGCGUAGGUGGUUUGUUAAGUCNGAUGUGAAAUCCCCGAGCUCAACCUGGGAACUGCAUUGGAAACUGGCAAGCUAGAGUNUGGUAGAGG